CGGGGCGUAGCGCAGCCUGGUAGCGCACUUGCAUGGGGUGCAAGGGGUCGCGAGUUCGAAUCCCGCCGUCCCGACCA
rnacentral:tRNA from 286 species